rnacentral:lncRNA from 1 species
UUUUUUUUCGAGAAAUAGGUAGCAUGCUACCUGCUUCGUUUGUUUCAUUUAGAAAUAAACUUAGCUAGAAAUGUGAAUCAACUAGGAUUCGAACUUAGGUCUUGGGUACCAACCACUAAGCCCUUUGCCACUUGCUCUAGGGACGGUCGGUCCCUUCUACUCUCUUUAGUUGGUAUGAUUCUAUGGCGCUAAUAUUAAUCCCAAAAGCUCGAGCUGUCCGAAGUACGCGGCCAAUUCACUUAAAGUGUACAGAUACCGCGCUCACGGAUCUUGAUUGUGACUCGACCCAAUCAGUCCCACGCUACUUCGAACGUGACUCGGCCCAGCCCAACCUUACAUCAUUUCAAAUAUGAUUGGACCCAAUGUAACCUUCCAUCACAUGAUAGAAUGUUAGUCUAUUUAAGCCAACAAUUAGAACUAUAAAUAAGAGUAAUGCUACUAUACUCUUAUGAGUAUAGACUCCUUUGUAUUCAUAAAUUUUCGAUCGUUGGAUAAAGAAUGUCCGGUUAGAAUGAGAGUGGUCUCCGGUUAUGAUAAUAGUGAUUUCUUAGGAUUGAGUGAAUGAUUGGUUGAAUAGUAUGAUCUAAUGUAUAAAAAUGAUUAAAAAAAUAAAUUUAAUGGCUAAAAAUUUAUGAAUAUACAAGAUUUAUACUUAUAAGAGUAUAGUAAAAAUGCGGCAAUUACGG